rnacentral:lncRNA from 1 species
GUCGUUUUUGUUGCCUUUUCAAUAGGGGUCGGUUCUUCUUACAAUUAAUUUUCAAAAUUAAUGGAGUAUUUUUUUAAGAUUAAUUUUUUUUUCGAAAAUUAUGUUUUAAUAUUUAAGUUUUUUCUGUUUCCUUAUUUAUCGUUUUUUUUGUUGCGUUAUUUUUCGGUUUUUUAUUUCCUAAAAUUAUAUAAAUCAUAUAUUUCGAAGUCUAUAUGAUUUUUUAUUCCUGAUUUUUUUUAUUUAUUUGUUUCAAAAUAUUAUUAUUCAUUUGUUACCAAUAAUUUUGUGUUUCUUGUUAAAGUAAUUCUAGAUUUAUUUCUGGCAAUUAUUUUUUUGAAAUUAAUAUAUUUUUU